CUGGGGUCUGUCUUUGCAGAGGUGCCAGGCCACAUGCCCUGCCCACCUCUACCAGCUAUGCCGCCUCUGAAGUUCCUCCAGCGGCACUGAGGAGGGGCCCUGUGGUCGAGGGUGCAGUUAAACGAGGCCCGACCGGGUAGUUGAGCUCAGCUUGGCUGUACUUGUCUUCCUUGGACCUGCUGGGCACCCCCAGAUGUUUGCUGAGUGCUCGCUGUGUGCCAGGCCCUCUU
rnacentral:lncRNA from 10 species